rnacentral:rRNA from 1 species
CGGGAGGCAGCAGUGGGGAAUAUUGGACAAUGGGCGAAAGCCUGAUCCAGCAAUGCCGCGUGAGUGAUGAAGGCCUUAGGGUUGUAAAGCUCUUUUACCAGGGAUGAUAAUGACAGUACCUGGAGAAUAAGCUCCGGCUAACUCCGUGCCAGCAGCCGCGGUAAUACGGAGGGAGCUAGCGUUGUUCGGAAUUACUGGGCGUAAAGCGUACGUAGGCGGUUAUUCAAGUCAGAGGUGAAAGCCUGGAGCUCAACUCCAGAACUGCCUUUGAAACUAGAUAGCUAGAAUCUUGGAGAGGUUAGUGGAAUUCCGAGUGUAGAGGUGAAAUUCGUAGAUAUUCGGAAGAACACCAGUGGCGAAGGCGACUAACUGGACAUGUAUUGACGCUGAGGUACGAAAGCGUGGGGAGCAAACAGGAUUAGAUACCC